rnacentral:rRNA from 1 species
UACGAAGGGGGCUAGCGUUGCUCGGAAUCACUGGGCGUAAAGGGCGCGUAGGCGGAUCUUUAAGUCGGGGGUGAAAGCCUGAGGCUCAACCUCAGAAUUGCCUUCGAUACUGGAGAUCUUGAGACCGGAAGAGGUGAGUGGAACUCCGAGUGUAGAGGUGAAAUUCGUAGAUAUUCGCAAGAACACCAGUGGCGAAGGCGGCUCACUGGCCCGGUACUGACGCUGAGGUGCGAAAGCGUGGGGAGCAAACAGGG